CUCCUCCACUGCAGCACCUCGAUCCUUGGUCCAAUGAUCAUCUAUUCUAAUGAAUCCCAUACGUCGAAGAGAGUGGUCAUUGUAGGUGCCAGUGUUCAAUAAUCUGCAUAUAGCCUCCCUCUCAAAACUCACACCAGACUGCCUAAAAAUAACUGUCAAGGCCAUUCCAUAAGGCAAGGGAGCCUUGGAUCUAUUCAAGGCCUCUCUCGUGGCAUCAAUCAUCA
rnacentral:lncRNA from 1 species